rnacentral:rRNA from 1 species
GACGAACGCUGGCGGCGUGCUUAACACAUGCAAGUCGAACGGAAAGGCCCUGCUUUUGUGGGGUGCUCGAGUGGCGAACGGGUGAGUAACACGUGAGUAACCUGCCCUUGACUUUUGGAUAACUUCAGGUAACUGGGGCUAAUACCGGAUAGGAGCCCCUCCUGCAUGGUGGGGGUUGGAAAUUUUCGGCGGUUGGGGAUGGACGCGCGGCUUAUCAGCUUGUUGGUGGGGGAGGGGCUUACCCAGGAUUUGAAGGGGAGCCGGCCUGGGGGGGUGACCGGCCAGCCUGGGACUGAGGGACGGACCGAACAGCCUCGGGAGGGAGGAGGGGGGGAGAAUGAACGAGGGGGGGGAGGCAGAUGGAAGCACCGCCGCGGCGGGGUGGAGGACGUCCGGUUGGAAACCGCUUUCGCCUGUGACGGAGCGUGAGUGACGGUAGUGGGUAAAGAAGCACCGGCUAACUACGUG